rnacentral:lncRNA from 1 species
AUUCCUUUCUUUCUUCAGCUCAACAGAUCAACAGGUCGUCAAGUCAGAAAGUUCACCGUGAACUCCCUGCCAUUUUGGCUUGAGCUUUGUCUUCAAACUUCACCUUGGCACCCCACGGCGCGCACAGGGAGCAGCGCUGAUGUGGUGAGUGGCUUUGACAGCCAGACUCCAUUGGAAGGCCUGUGCGAUGUACUUUGCCCUUAAAGGUAACCCGUUCCCCCCCACGGUGGUGUCACUCCACACCACUCCACGCUGUCUGGGUCCUCCAGGUCCAUGUUAUCCUUCGCCCGCUGGCUCUUUGGGUCUUGUGGGGGCUGCCGUGGCGCAUGCUGCGCUGCUGUUCGAACUGAGACCCCUCCUGACCCCCGUGACCAAGUUGACAAGUGAGGGAUGUGUCUUACGGGGAAGUUGUGCAUUCGGACAGUCUCCUUCUCGAAUUGUCACUCCAGACGCCCGUGGAUCUCACUUUCCCUGCUUUGACAGAAUCUGGUGGCUGGUCAAAGUAAGCUGUUGGGCCACCAAUUUCACCUCUGGACAAAAGACAAGGGACUGGAGGAGGAUUGCGCAAGGAAAUAAGCUUUGUGAGGCUUUGUAGAAAAUAGGUUUUCAGGGCAUUAAAACGUUUCUGUGAAGUACUACACAAAAAGAAAAGAGAGAGAGAUGGAGAGAGUGAGUAAAAAUAUUUUAAGC